AAACAGCACUCUGUUGACCCACCUACACAGCCCUUUCAGGCCAGCUUCCAUAGAGAAAUGGUGGGCCAGGGACCGCUGGGGACACACCCAUAUCAAACAACUAGGGCUUUCUUGAUCUGCCACAGGAUGCCUGGAAACCCAAGGUAAUGUUACAAUAAAGGCUCUGGCCAAACAAGCUAAUUCUGCCCCCAAAUAUCGAUUCAGGCCAUCAGGAUGGCUAUAAAGCCUUGACCUUCUCCUUUUCUUUUUUUCUCCCCAAAUCAGAAGCUCCAAGGGGACUCAAGUCACAGUCUCCAAUAUAGGAAGUGAAUCUACCAGUCACAUGAUGCUGGGCUGUUCUCAUGGGAACGAUGAGUCAGAAAGGGAUUACUGACAGAGGCUGUUCCUUACUUACUUCUCUCUCCCCAUUCUAGAAUUUUCUGAUUAUCCGGAACUAAGGUUCAAGCUACCAAUAGAGCAACUUGACCCCUUCAGCCCUGCUGUUUUCCUGUCAGUGCUUUCCUGCUAAGAUCAGGCUGACCAGCACCACACAGCCUCUGAACCAGCAAGCAUUUCCCAAGCUUUAGCUUGGCCCAGGCUCUCACUGCCCUGCUCUGUCUCACCACUUCCUCCAUGCUGCUCCAAACAACACAAGCUAAAAACUGCCAGCCAAGGAUGUUCUCAAGCCCCCUGUUCUGCAGCACUCUCUGUCUCAGCCUUUGGCCAGUCAAGAGACUCCCUGCAAACUGAUCCAUUGUACCUGAAAUCCCACAUGGAGGAAGUUCCACAUUCCUGAGGGACUUUCUGAUUUGGGGAAGGAUGAUCCUGAACAGCAUCAAGACAGCCAUUGGACCACCUAAGUUUCAAG